rnacentral:misc_RNA from 1 species
AAAAAAUACCUAUGCUGGUUUGCUUCUCCAAACUUUUUGGGGAAGCCGCCAGUGUUAAUUACUCAUUUGUGAACCGUGUUUUGUCUCUGGCGGUGGGGUCUUUCUGGGCAACCAGGGGACCUGUCAGCAUCCGAGUGGUGCCGUGGACAAGCCGUCAAAGGUUUUUACAAACAACACUUGUUUUUACUUUAUUUUGUCUUACCUUUCUUUUUGUAUGCAAAAUGCAAAAAA